GCCUUCGUGGUGUAAUGGUAGCGCAUUCGGCGCGUAUUCGAGAGGUCCGAGUUUCGAGUCCCGGCGAGGGCA
rnacentral:tRNA from 1 species